UUGACCUCGGAUCAGGUAGGAGUACCCGCUGAACUUAAGCAUAUCAAUAAGCGGAGGAAAAGAAACCAACAGGGAUUGCCCUAGUAACGGCGAGUGAAGCGGCAACAGCUCAAAUUUGAAAUCUGGCCCUAGGCCCGAGUUGUAAUUUGCAGAGGAUGCUUCGGGCGCGGCGCCUUCCAAGUCCCCUGGAACGGGGCGCCAGAGAGGGUGAGAGCCCCGUACUGUCGGACGUCAAGCCUAUGUGAAGCUCCUUCGACGAGUCGAGUAGUUUGGGAAUGCUGCUCAAAAUGGGAGGUAGACCCCUUCUAAAGCUAAAUACCGGCCAGAGACCGAUAGCGCACAAGUAGAGUGAUCGAAAGAUGAAAAGCACUUUGAAAAGAGGGUUAAAUAGCACGUGAAAUUGUUGAAAGGGAAGCGCUUGUGACCAGACUUGCACUGAGGCGAUCAUCUGGCGUUCUCGCCAGUGCACUCGCCUCGGUUCAGGCCAGCGUCGGUUCGCGUGGGGGGAUAAAGGCUCUGGGAACGUGGCUCCUCCGGGAGUGUUAUAGCCCAGUGUGUCAUGCCCUCGUGCGGACCGAGGUUCGCGCUCUGCAAGGACGCUGGCGUAAUGGUUACUAGCGACCCGUCUUGAAACACGGACCAAGAGUUGGGAGGUUCUGCGCGAGUGUUUGGGUGUCAAACCCGCACGCGUAAUGAAAGUGAACGUAGGUGGGAGCUUCGGCGCACCACCGACCGAUCCUGAUGUUCUCGGAUGGAUUUGAGUAGGAGCGUAGGGCCUCGGACCCGAAAGAUGGUGAACUAUGCUUGGAUAGGGUGAAGUCAGAGGAAACUCUGAUGGAGGCUCGCAGCGGUUCUGACGUGCAAAUCGAUCGUCAAAUCUAAGCAUGGGGGCGAAAGACUAAUCGAACCAUCUAGUAGCUGGUUACCGCCGAAGUUUCCCUCAGGAUAGCAGUGUUGUCUUCAGUUUUAUGAGGUAAAGCGAAUGAUUAGGGACUCGGGGGCGCCAUAUUGCCUUCAUCCAUUCUCAAACUUUAAAUAUGUAAGAAGCCCUUGUUACUUAAUUGAACGUGGGCACUCGAAUGUAUCAACACUAGUGGGCCAUUUUUGGUAAGCAGAACUGGCG
rnacentral:rRNA from 1 species